rnacentral:lncRNA from 1 species
UUUUUUUGGGUAAAAGUAUAUAUGCUGUUUCAAAACGUUAUCCACGACGUUUCAUAUAGGACGAUGCUAUUACAAUUAGAUAUUAUAACAAGUUUCCAUAUCUUGCGUUAUCGCGACAAAAACAUAUGUCUGGAAGCAAGCCACCAUGGACCGCUUAAGAUGAUAUGAAAACUUAGCACAUGAUUGAAACUUGAAAGCCACAAAAUGGAUAAACCAGACCAAUUCCCUUUCUAUAUCUUUUGGAUUUAACGUACUUAAAUCAAAUAGCUUUCAAUCAUAAUCGUCAUAUUCCCGAAAGAGAUAAAAUGUCACAAUCAGCCACGCGCAAGAGCCUCUGGUCGUAUUAGGGUUUCGAGGGCCGAGAAGGACAUAACCACGUGACCGUCAACGUUAACCACAAACCCAGUCUCAUAGGGCACUAACUUAUUAAGAAGAAGAAGAACAUAUCUUCUCUCUUCAACAUUCUCUCCACAUCUCCUUAAUGACAUGAAAACGACACAUGUCAUGACUUAAUUCCGAGUUUGAAACUGAAAAACCUGAUAAGAUCAAGAGAACAAAGAGAGAAGAGAAAAAUGCCGCCAAAAUCAAUCCGCCGCCACAAUGGGACUAAUCUACAACUUUUGAUCAGUGAUCAGAACAAUUGUCUGCUACUACUCAAUACAAUAAGGCUGCCAAAACUCAAUAUGUACUGCCAAGUGAUCAUGACGACCGAUUCUAGACGUAACCAAGUAAAAUAUUAGUUUUGGUCUGUAAAUUUUAAUAUGUACUUCCUCAUAUUAUAUAAAUCUCUUAUGUCAAGAUUUAUAGUAGUAAAAUGUUUAAAACUUCUUAAAAUUCAAGAUCGUUGCAUGUGACAAGUAACGCAACCAACAGAGAACAUACUACUACUAUCUCAUCCCUUCUUCCGAACAAUUCAACAUCAAAAUUCAUAUAUAGUUGCAAACUUCAGAUAUAUCUUCUGACGAUAAGAAAACACCACAUCAAAAGGCUUUCAGAUUUUGAUAUUUACUUUUAAAAAAACGUGCAACAAAUCAUCGAAACACAUUCCACACGCCUAAAACGAAUAUAUAAAAAUGUUGAAAUCUCGAUGAACACCUUGUUGUUUUUGUUUUCCACUCUAUAAGAAGACAUGCAGCCCUUUCUACACCUUGAUGAAACACCUUGUCGUGUAUUAAAGUGAUACUAGAUUUUGACCCGUCCUUUAAAGGACGGGUAUAUUUUUGUUUUAAAUUUUUUUCUGAGAAAUUUAAUUUUAAUUUUUAUUUUUUUAUACAUUAUAGUGAUAUCGGGCAUGAAGAAAAAAAAACGACGCUCAUAAUAGUGAAAAUGCUACUUUUUC